GACGAACGCUGGCGGCGUGGAUUAGGCAUGCAAGUCGGACGGUAGGGCUUUAUCGUAAGAUAGAGUUUGAGAGUGGCGAACGGGUGAGUAACACGUAGGAAUCUACCCUUAAGACGGGGACAACCCAGGGAAACUUGGGCUAAUACCGGAUGAGAGUGCGAGAGAUUGCAUUUAAAAGGAUGGCGAAAGUUGUCGCUUAGGGAUGAGCCUGCGGUCUAUUAGUUAGUUGGUGAGGUAAGAGCUCACCAAGGCGAUGAUAGAUAGGCGGCCUUAACGGGUGGUCGCCCACACUGGGGAUUGAGAUACGGCCCAGACUCCUACGGGAGGCAGCAGUCGAGAAUAGUCUACAAUGGCCGGAAGGCUGAUAGUGCGACGCCGCGUGAACGAGGGGAGCCCUUCGGGGGUGUAAAGUUCUUUUCUAUACGAGCAGUGCUAUAUAUAUGGAUAGUAUAUAUAGAGGGAUAGUAGUAUAGGAAUAAGCAACGGCUAACUCCGUGCCAGCAGACCC
rnacentral:rRNA from 1 species